GUGGGGAAUCUUAGACAAUGGGGGCAACCCUGAUCUAGCCAUGCCGCGUGAUCGAUGAAGGCCUUAGGGUUGUAAAGAUCUUUCAGCUGGGAAGAUAAUGACGGUACCAGCAGAAGAAGCCCCGGCUAACUCCGUGCCAGCAGCCGCGGUAAUACGGAGGGGGCUAGCGUUGUUCGGAAUUACUGGGCGUAAAGCGCACGUAGGCGGAUUGGAAAGUUGGGGGUGAAAUCCCGGGGCUCAACCACGGAACUGCCUUCAAACGUACCAGACUGGAGGUCGAGAGAGGUGAGUGGAAUUCCGAGUGUAGAGGGGAAAUUCGUAGGUAUUCGGAGGAACACCAGUGGCGAAGGCGGCUCCCGGGCUCGAUACUGACGCUGAGGUGCGAAAGCGUGGGGAGCAAACAGGAUUAGAUACCCGAGUAGUCC
rnacentral:rRNA from 1 species